AGCCCUGGAAAGAGAACAGAGUGCAAAUCUGAGACAAACACCCUAAAGGGUGUCGGGGCUU
rnacentral:tRNA from 1 species